GUCAGUGUGGCAUAAUGGUUUGAGUAUUGGACUACAACUUUGGAGACCAGGGUUCAAUUCCCAGGUCAGCCA